UGAAGCCUUGGGGCCAUGAAAUGGUUUUGUGCCAAGGCUUCAGGAAGGAGCAUCAGAAUCCCUCUCCAUAAGAGGAGAAGAUUGUAUGUGUUCCUUUAAAAGGGAAAGAUGAAGAAAGAGGAGAGAGCAAAAUGUUGGUCAUGAAAUGUUGGAAAGCAGAGACCUGUGAAACAUGCAAGAGCAAAAGAAGUCUGGAGGAGGUUGUUUUCAUGAUUGGCUGGGAAUGGAGUAAUCUCAGCAUUAGGACAUCUAAGAUUUCCAGAAAUUUUCUGGAAUCCUUUGAGAUUCGAUUCUCUUGUGAUUAGAAGAACAAGAAGGAAAGUCACCCCUAUCCUGGAUAAAUGCCACAAUCUGCCUUCUCUGCUCCUAAACCAGGCUGCCAAGCUUUGCUGGGAAGAAGUCCCUCCAUUCCAUAAUCAUGGACUCCAACCACAGCUGGGCCCUGGAUAAUUUGAGUAAAACUUGUACUUGUCUGUGAUUAACUUUUCCCCAUUUUUUUCAGCAGUUAUUUCCAACUUUCACCUUUCUCUUUAAACCCUUGAUCUUCUACCUGUGGCCUUAACCUAAGUAAGUACAUGAACCUUUUCCCUAUUUUAAGGGAAAAAAUAGAUAAUCCAAACAUGGGCUUCUCUAUCCACAAAUCUCUCCACAUCUGCACCAACUCCUGCUCACUAUUACUGAGAGGACUCAAGAACCUCACCUAUUUCCCUGGCCCUCUCCAACCCGUUACUCUAAGGCUCACCUCCUGUACCUCUUGUAUCAACACCUUCUCAAGGUCUUACAAUAGCCCUUUAUUUUAAACAAAUAAACAUGUCCAGAU